UUCUCCUUUAAUCUCCCUCAAAGCCUAAUCUCUUCAAAUCUCAGAAGCUAUGCAGGGCUGGUCCUGGUUAGUACUUGGUUGGGAGACCAGAGUACCAGUUGCCACAGUGGGGC
rnacentral:rRNA from 1 species